CAAGAUUCAAUGAUCUCUCCGUUUCCUCCCUGCCUCUAACAUUUUGUUGACAAAGUGCUCUCCGCACCCUCAGCCCUGGAGGGAGGGAGAGACACUCCAAUGUGGGGAGACUGCUCUUGGGGCUGCCAACGUUUACAGUGUGUUAGCGCCAAGACUCCUUGGGGCUGGAUCCUCUGAGACCGAUGACCGCCUCCAGAAGAGGAGCGUUAGCGACCAAGCUCAGGCUGCCUUUCUUCAUCCCUCGCCACCGAUGCUUCUCCUAACGGAGCUGCCCAUCCCAAGCACAGCAUGUCAGCCUCAGAUCAGCGAUUUUGCUGCAGCCAACAUGUAACCCAGUUCGAGAAUGAUGCUAAAGAGAACUGAAUGCUAACCACUCUGUGUGAGCCAGGCUCAGAAUUUCAAGAGACACAAAGUCCUGGCUCUCACUUGAUCAAACUACUGAGGUUAUUGAAUAAUACAC
rnacentral:lncRNA from 1 species